GAGAUGAGCGUGUAAGCGUUUUCGAGCGUACAAACUUGAGAUACCUUUCUGAACUCCCACAGAAGGUUGACUUAGUAACUUUGGACCUCUCCUUUAUUUCGAUACUUCUGGUGAUGCCUGCAGUUGUCAAUUUGAUGAAGGAGGAAGCUACAUUAGUGACGCUGAUUAAACCUCAGUUUGAGGCUCGGAGAUCCCAAGUUGGAGGAGGUGGAAUUGUAAGGGAUCCCUUGGUCCAUCAAGAGGUGAUUGAGAGGAUCAUAAAUGGGGUACAAAACCAUGGAUUUCAAUGCAAAGGUUGGAUUGAAUCUCCU
rnacentral:misc_RNA from 1 species